CCUGGAAGAACAAAAAGGGAGCAAAGCCAAGUUAGGAAGGGCGUCUCGGAGUUUCCCAGGGCACAAAGCCAGAAACCGUGCACGUAUCUGACAGCAGAUGAAGGCAGUGAGGUCCAGGAAGAGGCAGAGCACAAACAGAAAAAGUGCUCCUUCCUCAUAAAGCCUGGAAGCUGGUGGGACUGCCAGUUCCAGGGCUGCAUCCUGCACAAAGCCACACUACACCUGAUUCACAGCAACUGCUCUUCGAAUCACUCCAGAUGUGCUUUUACUUUAGGAAUGCUGCAUCUGACCUAAACUGGCAAUGGCUGAGCAUCCGCCUGCCUGUACAGCAUAAGCCUGGUCGCCUCUCACAUACCCUUUUCCUAGCCUUACUUUUAAAAGGAAUUGGCUGUAGAGUUUGCCAUGAUGGGGUACUUCAAACUUGUCACAUACCUCUCCAACAGUAAAAAAGCUGUCACUUGGCACUUGUAAGAAACAGCACUUGCUACUCUGCCAAACCA